AGCUAGUUGGUGAGGUAACGGCCCACCAAGGCGAUGAUGCAUAGCCGGCCUGAGAGGGCGAACGGCCACAUUGGGACUGAGACACGGCCCAAACUCCUACGGGAGGCAGCAGUAGGGAAUUUUCGGCAAUGGGGGAAACCCUGACCGAGCAAUGCCGCGUGAGUGAAGACGGCCUUCGGGUUGUAAAGCUCUGUUGUAAGGGAAGAACGGCAUAGAGAGGGAAUGCUCUAUGAGUGACGGUACCUUACCAGAAAGCCACGGCUAACUACGUGCCAGCAGCCGCGGUAAUACGUAGGUGGCAAGCGUUAUCCGGAAUUAUUGGGCGUAAAGGGUGCGUAGGCGGCGAGAUAAGUCUGAGGUAAAAGCCCGUGGCUCAACCACGGUAAGCCUUGGAAACUGUCUGGCUGGAGUGCAGGAGAGGACAAUGGAAUUCCAUGUGUAGCGGUAAAAUGCGUAGAUAUAUGGAGGAACACCAGUGGCGAAGGCGGUUGUCUGGCCUGUAACUGACGCUGAAGCACGAAAGCGUGGGGAGCAAAUAGGAUUAGAUACCCUAGUAGUCCACGCCGUAAACGAUGAGAACUAAGUGUUGGGGAAACUCAGUGCUGCAGUUAACGCAAUAAGUUCUCCGCCUGGGGAGUAUGCACGCAAGUGUGAAACUCAAAGGAAUUGACGGGGGCCCGCACAAGCGGUGGAGUAUGUGGUUUAAUUCGAAGCAACGCGAAGAACCUUACCAGGUCUUGACAUCCUUUGACCACUCUAGAGAUAGAGCUUCCCCUUCGGGGGCAAAGUGACAGGUGGUGCAUGGUUGUCGUCAGCUCGUGUCGUGAGAUGUUGGGUUAAGUCCCGCAACGAGCGCAACCCUUAUUGUUAGUUGCCAUCAUUCAGUUGGGCACUCUAGCAAGACUGCCGGUGACAAACCGGAGGAAGGUGGGGAUGACGUCAAAUCAUCAUGCCCCUUAUGGCCUGGGCUACACACGUACUACAAUGGCGACCACAAAGAGCAGCGACACAGUGAUGUGAAGCGAAUCUCAUAAAGGUCGUCUCAGUUCGGAUUGAAGUCUGCAACUCGACUUCAUGAAGUCGGAAUCGCUAGUAAUCGCAGAUCAGCAUGCUGCGGUGAAUACGUUCUCGGGCCUUGUACACACCGCCCGUCAAACCAUGGGAGUUGGUAAUACCCGAAGCCGGUGGCAUAACCGCAAGGAGUGAGCCGUCGAAGGUAGGACCGAUGACUGGGGUUAAGUCGUAACAAGGUAUCCCUACGGGAACGUGGGGAUG
rnacentral:rRNA from 1 species